CCGAAACCCGGUGAUCUAGCCAUGGGCAGGUUGAAGGUUGGGUAACACUAACUGGAGGACCGAACCGACUAAUGUUGAAAAAUUAGCGGAUGACUUGUGGCUGGGGGUGAAAGGCCAAUCAAACCGGGAGAUAGCUGGUUCUCCCCGAAAGCUAUUUAGGUAGCGCCUCGUGAAUUCAUCUCCGGGGGUAGAGCACUGUUUCGGCAAGGGGGUCAUCCCGACUUACCAACCCGAUGCAAACUGCGAAUACCGGAGAAUGUUAUCACGGGAGACACACGGCGGGUGCUAACGUCCGUCGUGAAGAGGGAAACAACCCAGACCGCCAGCUAAGGUCCCAAAGUCAUGGUUAAGUGGGAAACGAUGUGGGAAGGCCCAGACAGCCAGGAUGUUGGCUUAGAAGCAGCCAUCAUUUAAAGAAAGCGUAAUAGCUCACUGGUCGAGUCGGCCUGCGCGGAAGAUGUAACGGGGCUAAACCAUGCACCGAAGCUGCGGCAGCGACACUAUGUGUUGUUGGGUAGGGGAGCGU
rnacentral:rRNA from 1 species